GAGCGGCCAUGGGGGUGACUGCGGGCGGCGGCAGCGCAUGAGGGGAAGGACUUGCACUGCCGGGUGGUGCCGACAUCUUUUUGGCAGCCCCAGUGUUGUCAUGACACUCCCCAGGGAGAAGUGCAAGCCUUCAAACAUUGGAAGACAUCACAUCUCUGCUCAGUCUCUUCUGAGUCUGGGGGACUUACAAGUUCAGUCUUCCAGGACAUGAAGUGUUGGAGCAAGUAACAAGAGGAGUAACUCACCAUAGCACAGCCCACAGCCCACCAGGACUGACUUACCUGAUCCAUCUCAUGGAAGUAUUCUUGCUCCUCUAGCUUUUCUCCAAAGCUAUUUUUAAGGUUGGCAUCUAACAGGGCACUCACAAAUAUAGCUACAGCCUUAAUAUGAGUCAAGGAAUUACUCACAUCUUAAAGUGCUCGAAGAUGGGAAGAAGUUGUGAAGAUGGGAAGAAGUCGCAGCCAACAGCAAAACCUCCUUCGCAGCCAAGAACCACGAGUGAGUUCUGAUCUCCCAACCACCCUCGCUUGCAAGAGUAAUACCCUCAAACUGUGGUACUGCUGUGACUUACUACUUGUGUGUCUUGCUCCCAGCACUCCACAAAUACACCCGUGGUAGAGGGAAUACAACACUAAAUGCACACAGCUGUAUGAUUAUUUCCACUCCCACACAAACCCAGUUUUGAAAGGAAGAGACUUACACUCAAAUAUAUGCUUAAUUAUAUUUAUUACAUUUAAGAAAUAUUAACAUCUCAGGAUAUCUGGUUUACCAUCUAAGUCCAGUCAUAAGCAACAAAAAGAAAAGUGUUAACCAUGUUUCAAAUGAGCAUUCUUACAUUCAUUCCCCCCCCACCCCCCACCCCGUAACGUAAAGAAAAGUGUUCAGCAGUAUUAAAUUCUUAGGUGGUUGACUAAUGGAAGAAAAAAGAAUCAUUAAAAGUGUCUUUAUUACCAGGCAUCCUGGUUUAAGUGGUUGUUGGCACUUGUGUUCACGAUCAAGCACUCUGGUUGCUUUGUUAUAUUCUCCCCUUCUACCCAAAACUGUGUUUUUGGUUAUUUUUUUUAGGUUUUUUUUAAUUUUUUUUUUUAAUUUCUAUCUGAAUAUGUAAGUUUGUUCAAAUAAGUUUAGAAAGAAAAGAAACCUCGGGUUGCCUGUGAGACGUUCCUGCACUGUGUCCCCACCUCUGUGAGAAAUUCCUAUCGCCUGUGGCAUAACUGAAGGAAGAUGAUUUGCUUUCUGAAUCUUACUGAGCCAAAAGUUCUUGUGUAAGUUCAACUGAAAAAAGUACAGAAACACUGUCUCCGUUUGAUGGUGUGCAUAAACGUUACACUCCCAUAUAUAGCAAAAAUAGCUUUUAUUUAUAAUUUACAUUUCCACAAGUGAAAAUUGUACAUUUUUUACAUAGACCAUUUCAUUCCAUUUAAUUUUUCACGCAUCUAUAGAACUUUCACACAAUGACACCUGAAACUGUGCAGGCAAGUUAAAUUCAAAUACAAAAAUGUAUUUAUUA